rnacentral:rRNA from 1 species
AGCGGACAGAAGGGAGCUUGCUCCCGGAUGUUAGCGGCGGACGGGUGAGUAACACGUGGGUAACCUGCCUGUAAGACUGGGAUAACUCCGGGAAACCGGAGCUAAUACCGGAUAGUUCCUUGAACCGCAUGGUUCAAGGAUGAAAGACGGUUUCGGCUGUCACUUACAGAUGGACCCGCGGCGCAUUAGCUAGUUGGUGAGGUAACGGCUCACCAAGGCGACGAUGCGUAGCCGACCUGAGAGGGUGAUCGGCCACACUGGGACUGAGACACGGCCCAGACUCCUACGGGAGGCAGCAGUAGGGAAUCUUCCGCAAUGGACGAAAGUCUGACGGAGCAACGCCGCGUGAGUGAUGAAGGUUUUCGGAUCGUAAAGCUCUGUUGUUAGGGAAGAACAAGUGCAAGAGUAACUGCUUGCACCUUGACGGUACCUAACCAGAAAGCCACGGCUAACUACGUGCCAGCAGCCGCGGUAAUACGUAGGUGGCAGGCGUUGUCCGGAAUUAUUGGGCGUAAAGGGCUCGCAGGCGGUUUCUUAAUCUGAUGUGAAAGCCCCCGGCUCAACCGGGGAGGUCAUUGCAAACUGGUAAACUUGAGUGCAGAAGAGG